AGCGGCGAACGGCUGAGUAACACGUUGGUAACUACCCCAAACUCAGGGAUAACCCGCCGAAAGGCGUGGCUAAUACCGGAUGGUCCCGAAAGGGUAAAGAUUUUUCGGUUUGGGAGGUGCCUGCGGCCUAUCAGCUUGUUGGUGAGGUAAGAGCUCGCCAAGGCUAUGACGGGUAGCUGGUCUGAGAGGAUGACCAGUCAGAAUGGAACUGAGACACGGUCCACACUCCUACGGGAGGCAGCAGUAAAGAAUCUUUCGCAAUGGGGGAAACCCUGACGAAGCAAUACCGCGUGGGUGAUGAAGGCCGAAAGGUUGUAAAGCCCUUUUCUGAGGGAAUAAUUUUGAAGGUACCUCAGGAAUAAGCACCGGCUAACUCCGUGCCAGCAGCCGCGGUAAUACGGAGGGUGCAAGCGUUACCCGGAAUCAUUGGGCGUAAAGCGUCCGCAGGCGGUUUGUUAAGUUAGUUAUUAAAUCUUGAAGCCCAACUUUAAGGCUGUGACUAAAACUGACAAACUAGAGUCUUUCAGAGGUGCGUGGAAUUCUGUGUGUAGGGGUAAAAUCCGUAGAUACACAGAGGAUCACCAAAAGCGAAGGCAGCGCACUGGGAAAGUACUGACGCUCAUGGACGAAAGCGUAGGUAGCGAACGGGAUUAGAUACCCCGGUAGUCUACGCCGUAAACGAUGGAUACUAGUUGUUGGA
rnacentral:rRNA from 1 species